rnacentral:lncRNA from 10 species
GGAAAAAGGCAGAUAAAAGACUGAAGUUAUGUCUUUAAAAGGGUAGAAAUCUGUAUGGCAUCCUAGAGCAAGAGGAUGAAGAGGAUGACGCAGUUUAGCCCCUAAGGAAACUGAGACCCAGAAAAAGCACAUGUCUUGGCUAAGGUUACAGAACAUGUCAGUGGCACAGCUGGGACUCAGAGGCUUGUUGGGCCAUUGGUCAGUGCUCUUUUUAUUAUGCCAAACAUGCUCAUGUCUCCUCCUCAGCUUUUCAGGAGCUCCAUGGCCAGUUCACCUCCCCAUUCUGACACCUAACGCCGUGAGGCUCCGUCCUUGAAGAGAUGUAACAUGUUCUGGAGAAGAUGUCAAGGGUCACUUCGAAGUGUGCACAGGUGAGUUAAUGAGAGCUGCUGCCUUUCAAUGUGGGCUACUGACGCUUUCUCCAACAGGUAGGUGUCUUGUGUGCAAAGGCCAAUAGUAUUUCCUGCAAUCUGGAGGCAGAUUCUGCUCACAAUCUCGAGACACAGCAAACUCUCCCCACCCGAGAAGAGGAUGGGAUGAGGCACACUGAAGAGGAAAGAAAACUGAUCCUGUAGCCACAGAAAAACAGGACUGAGACCAGGAAGGGCAAGUCGUGUGUGUCAGCAUUGUGGACCUUUAUAUAAAUAAUAAUUUUCCAGUGGGAACUGUGAUCUCUUCUUGUCUCUUCUAUUUUUAAAUGCUAAUUACUUCUGAUUUUGUUUACGUAGGCGGAGCUAAUAAGAACAUUUGCUUCAUAACCAUUGAACCUAAUGUAUCUGUUUUUGGACACUGGUGAUUUAUUUUUGCACACAUGCUCCAAAUUGGUGCUAAUUACUUUAAAGGAUCAGAGUUUCUAUUCCAAGAGGGAUGACGACAGAAUGUCAAUUUGGAGUCUCUGAGCAUAAUGUCCCAAUUAUCAAUGCAUUCCAGACCAGAAUGGACUUGGCACCUUCUUGAAGGGAUUUGGCUUCACUUUUAUCAGCCAGUCCCUGGUUGUAGCUUCAUUAAAACUUGCUUUCUAGUAACUUGUGGAUGUGCCUAUACUUUUCUCUGUCUCAAAGACCCUUCAGUGUCAUAUCAGUAUCCUGAAUACCUACCUUUUCAUUUCCAGAUCAAAUACUUCUCCCUCUGAGCCUUUUUUGAUCUCUUUGGCCCAAGAUAAUUUUAAUUCCUAAGAUUUUCUGAUUCCUUUCUUAAAGAGGUUAGCACUUUCUACAUUGUAUUGUAAUCAUUUGCUGUUACAUUCUUACCUCCUUUCUAACAGAUAAGCCCCUUAGUGACAAUACCUUAUCUGAAUUAUCUUUGUCCCCACUGCACACUGAAACUUCUCCUGGUGCCCUGUACAUAAUAAGUGCUUUACACAUUGAUUUAAUUGCGGUUUGUUUAUAAUAUCCUACAUGCUCCAGAAAGAUUUUAAGGUAGAUUUAAAUAAAUAUUUAUGCAACAAAGGAAUGAAUACAUCUAUACGCACACAGAAUUACUAAAGUCUAUAAUCAAUAUAUGAAGUAUAACUACACAGUACAAAAUUUAACCAUCAUACCUAAAAGAAAAACAAACACGAUGCUGUGGGGAAUGCUUGAGAGGUAGUAACAAAGGCUUUAAAUCUUAAUGACCACCAAAGUAACCCACAUUCCUGAUAUGGUAUUUGCUCAACAUGAAUGUUUAGAUGAACAGGAGAUGAAAACUAUCUGAAGUGAGGGGAGGGGGUGUCACUGACUACACAGAAUAAAUAUGGAGCAUAUUGUGACCAAGAAGAUAUGGCCACAGAGGAAAAAGAGCAAAACAGGUCCAUCCUAAUUUGUUCAUUUACCGUUCACUUAUUCAUCCCACAAACUUGUAUGGAGAAGCCCCUAUGUCAAAUGCUAUGCUUGCACUGUGGAUGCAAAGGUAAAUAAAAACAUCCUAGUUUAGCUGUUUAGACCAGGGGUCAGCAAACUAUGGCCAAUGGGCCAUCUCCGGAUCACUGUUUGUUUUAUAAAUAAAGUUUUAUUGGAAUACACCAUGCCAAUUCAUUUAUAUAUAUAUCUCUUAGCCACUGUUCCUCCACAACUGCAG